rnacentral:rRNA from 1 species
UACGGAAGGCAGCAGUGGGGAAUAUUGCACAAUGGGCGCAAGCCUGAUGCAGCCAUGCCGCGUGUAUGAAGAAGGCCUUCGGGUUGUAAAGUACUUUCAGUCGUGAGGAAGGUGUUAAGGUUAAUAACCUUAGCAAUUGACGUUAGCGACAGAAGAAGCACCGGCUAACUCCGUGCCAGCAGCCGCGGUAAUACGGAGGGUGCGAGCGUUAAUCGGAAUUACUGGGCGUAAAGGGCACGCAGGCGGUUAAUUAAGUUGGAUGUGAAAUCCCCGGGCUUAACCUGGGAAUGGCAUUCAAGACUGGUUAGCUAGAGUCUUGUAGAGGGGGUAGAAUUCCAUGUGUAGCGGUGAAAUGCGUAGAGAUGUGGAGGAAUACCGGUGGCGAAGGCGGCCCCUGAACAAGACUGACGCUCAUGUGCGAAAGCGUGGGGAGCAAAC